GCUAUCGUGGCCGAGUGGUUAAGGCGCUAGUUUUAAGUUGUCAGGGCAACGGCCCGUAUCCGAGCAAUAACACUAGUGACGAAAGUCUCGCGCGUUCGAACCGCGUCGAUAGCA